rnacentral:rRNA from 1 species
AUUGAACGCUGGCGGCAGGCCUAACACAUGCAAGUCGAGCGGAUGAAGGGAGCUUGCUCCUGGAUUCAGCGGCGGACGGGUGAGUAAUGCCUAGGAAUCUGCCUGCUAGUGGGGGAUAACGUCCGGAAACGGGCGCUAAUACCGCAUACGUCCUGAGGGAGAAAGUGGGGGAUCAUCGGACCUCACGCUAUCAGAUGAGCCUAGGUCGGAUUAGCUAGUUGGUGGGGUAAAGGCCUACCAAGGCGACGAUCCGUAACUGGUCUGUGAGGAUGAUCAGUCCCCCUGGAACUGAGACACGGUCCAGACUCCUACGGGAGGCAGCAGUGGGGAAUAUUGGACAAUGGGCGAAAGCCUGAUCCAGCCAUGCCGCGUGUGUGAAGAAGGUCUUCGGAUUGUAAAGCACUUUAAGUUGGGAGGAAGGGCAGUAAGUUAAUACCGUGCUGUUUUGACGUUACCAACAGAAUAAGCACCGGCUAACUUCGUG